GAUGAACGCUGGCGGCGUGCCUAAUACAUGCAAGUCGAGCGAACGGACGAGAAGCUUGCUUCUCUGAUGUUAGCGGCGGACGGGUGAGUAACACGUGGAUAACCUACCUAUAAGACUGGGAUAACUUCGGGAAACCGGAGCUAAUACCGGAUGAUAUUUUGAACCGCAUGGUUCAAAAGUGAAAGACGGUCUUGCUGUCACUUAUAGAUGGAUCCGCGCUGCAUUAGCUAGUUGGUAAGGUAACGGCUUACCAAGGCAACGAUGCAUAGCCGACCUGAGAGGGGGGAGGGCCAACAGGGAACUGGAACCAGGGACAGGACCCAGGGGGGGGGCGCGAGAGGGAAUCUUCCGGCAAGGGGAGAAGGCUGACGGGGACACGGCGGGGGGAGUAAAAAGGUUUUUGGGAUCUAAAAACUUUUUUAUUGGGAAAAAAAAUAUGUUAAAGUAAUUGUGCACAUCUGGAGGGAACCUAACAAAAAGACCAGGGCAAACUCGGUC
rnacentral:rRNA from 1 species